GACGAACGCUAGCGGCGUGCUUAACACAUGCAAGUCGAACGGAAAGGCCCUGCUUGCAGGGUACUCGAGUGGCGAACGGGUGAGUAACACGUGGGUGAUCUGCCCUGCACUUCGGGAUAAGCCUGGGAAACUGGGUCUAAUACCGGAUAGGAGCCAUUUUUAGUGUGAUGGUUGGAAAGUUUUUUCGGUGUAGGAUGAGCUCGCGGCCUAUCAGCUUGUUGGUGGGGUAAUGGCCUACCAAGGCGGCGACGGGUAGCCGGCCUGAGAGGGUGGACGGCCACAUUGGGACUGAGAUACGGCCCAGACUCCUACGGGAGGCAGCAGUGGGGAAUAUUGCACAAUGGGCGCAAGCCUGAUGCAGCGACGCCGCGUGGGGGAUGACGGCCUUCGGGUUGUAAACUCCUUUCGCUAGGGACGAAGCUUUUGUGACGGUACCUAGAUAAGAAGCACCGGCUAACUACGUG
rnacentral:rRNA from 1 species